GCGUGAGUGAUGAAGGCCUUAGGGUUGUAAAGCUCUUUUACCCGGGAAGAUAAUGACUGUACCGGGAGAAUAAGCCCCGGCUAACUCCGUGCCAGCAGCCGCGGUAAUACGGAGGGGGCUAGCGUUGUUCGGAAUUACUGGGCGUAAAGCGUACGUAGGCGGCUUUGUAAGUUAGAGGUGAAAGCCUGGUGCUCAACACCAGAACUGCCUUUAAGACUGCAUCGCUUGAACGUCGGAGAGGUGAGUGGAAUUCCGAGUGUAGAGGUGAAAUUCGU
rnacentral:rRNA from 1 species